rnacentral:misc_RNA from 1 species
GCUUUUCUGAUAGUGUUCACUCAUCUGUUUCUUUUUCAGUAAUUUCCUUUUUCUGUGCUGCUUUUAUUGAAUGAACUUAACAGUUAGGUGUUAACCCAAAUCACUUUCGCUUAAUUGCCUAAUUUGGGUUGUGUUAGAAUUGGAUUGAAAUGAGAAAUGGGUAGUGAAGUUUGGCUUGAAAAAAUUGUUGCUUUAUGGUAUUUAGCUUUUACACACGCAAAGGAAGAGAUGUAGAAAAAAAAUUCUUUCUGUGUUGAUUGCAAGAAGCGUUUUUAGAACAAUGACUAUAGUUUUUUUAUGGGGAUGUUCAGGAAUAGAUAGCAAUGUCAAG